UCAUAAUUAUAUACACAGUACUGCUGUCAAGCACACAAUCAAGUUGGGGCGUCACCAACUUGCCCUCGAUUGGUAGGAAGUCAUGAAUUUGUAUAAAAAGUCUCACAGUAUAUCUCUCCAGGGUGUCAUACAGGGAAAUAAGAAAAGUAACCAGAAAAUGUUGUUAAAAAAAGUUCAACUGUUAUUUCAAUACCCAGCUAUGGACACUCAGUCAUCAUUGAAAGGGGGGGAAAAUUGGAGCGAGGGGGGAUAUCCUCCUUUCCCCCCCUGUAUGACACCCUGCUCUCUGUUUCCAUACAUAGUCUAAUAAAGGUCGCGUGUAGCUCUAAGGUCAGUGUGUAAGGUCAAGUUUUUUAGCUUUAUUCGCUGUCACUCUUAAAACUAAUAACUUGUUGUGUGUAUGGAGGCUUUAUCCGAAUAGCCGCGGUUAUGAUUUCAUACGUAGUGCCGCCCACCGCGGAACCAUUUUUACAAGUAUACUUCCAGUUUUCAGCCCUUAGCAAAAAAAGGUGCGUAGCUUCGAAACCGUAGCAGUUUUCUUUGGGCAACUUUGCAGCUAGCUAGUCUACAGUAGCUACUCUAUCAGGAUCUCCUGGACUCCAACGGAAUUGUCAACCAGCUAAGGCCACAGCGAAGGAUCCUUUUAGAGCAUUCUCCUCGUGCAAAGAAAGAUGCAACUAACUUUUAGGCAACUGCCUAGCAUUCUCUGUCGGGAUCUCCUGGUUUGGAACGGACGGCCACAGCACUUCAUAGAUAAGCUUUGUGGCUGUGUAUUAAACUGCUAGUACGCUUACUCUACAUAAUAGAUAGCUUGUAAAGUAGUAAAUGUACACUGGUUACGUGUUACAGUCAGUACUAAGUAUUUCUACUCAUGUUCAACAGGCAGGAUAAAAACUCAUAGGAGUUGACGCUUUAUACAACUACACAGAGAAAAGAGGUAUCAGCACAGUGUGCUGUUUUCAGUACCAAAUAAGGGCAUGCAGUACAACAGAUGUGCAGCUGCAGCUGCAUAGCAACAAAGAUUUUUUUUGCUGUUCUUGCAAAGAAGAAAAGAAGUUGAGUUUAGACAUGGUUUGAGAGCUGUUUGACAAAACUGUGGAACUAGCAUUCUCCUCGUGCAAAGAAAGAUGCAACUAACUUUUAGGCAACUGCCUAGCAUUCUCUGUCGGGAUCUCCUGGUUUGGAACGGACGGCCACAGCACUUCAUAGAUGGCAACGACCUCUGCGUACAUCCUGGUGGUGAAGAGGGAAGUGAGCUAUUCCUAGCGAUUUCAAGGGUGUCUUGCUCUUUUUGGAGCAGUAGUCGCCAAUUAGCUUCUUGGCCAACUCGUGACGAAAUGAGAGGAGGGUUUUCAGUGCGUUGGGCAUCUGUAGUACCCUCUGAGCUGAUCCCCUCUGUCGACACCCCCUAUGAAGCGAUUAUAGUCCUCGAUGCUCUGUGGGCACGGGACGGAGAUUUUUUCGCCUGUCUUGACUGUACGUUGUACAGAGAUGACCGAAGUGGCGUCAGAGGCUGUGGAGAUCACACAGACAACCCUAUUGUCGCUGAGACCGUCACCUUUUUCUUUCUGGAGAGUCAUGUAUUCCCCCCUGAAAAGGUAAAUAAUUAUAAUUUUUUAUUAUGCUUAUUACUUUCUGUCAGCUUUGGCUGCUUGAGAGCCUUGGGGAAGCCUCUGCGGUCAGCGCGAGCUGUACCACAAGCAUAAAUGCCAUCCUUCUCCAAGUCUUCUAACAGUUUGACAGACGUGAAAUAGUUGUCAAAAUAGACGUGGUGGUGCUUGCAUGUGCUUCAACGAGGCUGUGAGGUCUUUCACAACUCGUGCUCCCAGUUGCUUCUCUGGUGUGGCUUCUCUCCCUGUAUACACUUGUAGCAUGUGGAAGUACCCGUCUGCUAGGACCCAAACCUUGAUUCCUCUCUUCACAGGUUUAUUUGGGAGGUACUGUUUCAGUGCAGAUCUACCCUGAAACUUUAUCAUUGCCUCGUCUACUGCAACUUCACGGCCUAAGUUGUAUGCAGCAGAACAGCGCUCGUUGAUCUUAUUGAAGAGGGGGCGUACUUUGGCCAAACGAUCGCUACCUGGGGUGCCUGGAGUCGGGAGAGUGGUGUUGUCCGUGAAAUGGAGGUAUCGUCGGAUGUCCCUAAAGCGAUUGCGUGAGAUCUUCGAUGCAAUUGUGGUAAAGAAAUGCUGGUAAGGGAGAACUUGAGAUGGAUACAGCUGGGCCUACAGAUUGGAUGAAGGCCUCUCGAGAAUGGUCAUUGUGGGAGUCCAAGGGCAGGUUUCAGCACGGACUCACAGUCACUGCAGCAGGCUCUCUGUUACCUGCACUGUCAGGGGAUUGUUCACAAUGACCUGAGACUGCUGGGUCAUGGCAUCAUUAAGAGGUCAGUACAUAGUUACAUGGGCAUGACCUCUGUUAUCUGAAAUACUGAGGUCAGAGGUCAUGAGUAUGUUUAUUGCUUUUGGGCCUAAAUUUUAUAUUUUUUUGAAGAAAGAGCAAGGAUAUAGAGUGUCAUACAGGGGGGAUAUCCCCCCUGCAUUCAUGCAGGUACUAGUUGGGGUCCAUAGCUGGCAAUUUUACAUACUAACAGCUAUAGGGUAUUGAAGUAACAGUUGACCUUUUUUUUUAGCUAGUUACAUUUCAACAAUCAUUUCCCACUAUAAUUAUACGUACGGUAAUCGUCUAAUUUCAUGCUAAAGAAUGUAUGUGCCUUUUGAUGGAGGAAUCAAUGAUUGAUUUUAGUAUACGUAGCUAUACCCACAUUGUAUUAUUAUAUACAGCUAAAAUCCUUAUCACACCCACACACCCCACCCCACCCACCCACCCACACACACACACCCACACACCACCCACACAUACCACACCCACAGGCACAAGGCAGACUAGUGUCCUCCUGGUGAAGCUACACCUUCAACUGUAUGAGAUGUACACACAAGAACACAAUCUGCUUGACUUCGAUCAAGAGUGUACUAACUUUAAUUUAUUAGCUUACUAGUGACCUACGUAUAUAUCACAACCAUUAUUUCCAUUUCUUUCAUGCAUGUUUGUUCACUGCAUUUCUUGAUAAUUAUAAUCAUGAUGACUAAUGGUGACUAUUUUGGUCACUAUUAUUAUACCGUAAA